rnacentral:rRNA from 1 species
GCUCAGAUUGAACGCUGGCGGCAGGCCUAACACAUGCAAGUCGAGCGGAUGACGGGAGCUUGCUCCUUGAUUCAGCGGCGGACGGGUGAGUAAUGCCUAGGAAUCUGCCUGGUAGUGGGGGACAACGUUUCGAAAGGAACGCUAAUACCGCAUACGUCCUACGGGAGAAAGCAGGGGACCUUCGGGCCUUGCGCUAUCAGAUGAGCCUAGGUCGGAUUAGCUAGUUGGUGGGGUAAUGGCUCACCAAGGCGACGAUCCGUAACUGGUCUGAGAGGAUGAUCAGUCACACUGGAACUGAGACACGGUCCAGACUCCUACGGGAGGCAGCAGUGGGGAAUAUUGGACAAUGGGCGAAAGCCUGAUCCAGCCAUGCCGCGUGUGUGAAGAAGGUCUUCGGAUUGUAAAGCACUUUAAGUUGGGAGGAAGGGCAUUAACCUAAUACGUUA